rnacentral:rRNA from 1 species
AGGACGAACGCUGGCGGCGUGCUUCAUACAUGCAAGUCGAGCGAGGAGCUUGCUCCGAGCGGCGAACGGGUGAGUAACACGUGGGCAACCUGCCCUUGGCUCUGGGAUAACUCCGGGAAACCGGGGCUAAUACCGGAUACGACCACCGAGGACAUCCUCCGGUGGUGGAAAGAAUUUCGGCCAAGGAUGGGCCCGCGGCCUAUCAGCUAGUUGGUGAGGUAACGGCCCACCAAGGCGACGACGGGUAGCCGGCCUGAGAGGGCGACCGGGCCAACGACUGGGACUGAGACACGGCCCAGACUCCUACGGGAGGCAGCAGUAGGGAAUAUUGCGCAAUGGGCGAAAGCCUGACGCAGCGACGCCGCGUGAGGGAUGAAGGCCUUCGGGUUGUAAACCUCUUUCAGCAGGGACGAAGCGCAAGUGACGGUACCUGCAGAGAAGCACCGGCAACUACGUGCCAGCAGCCGC